rnacentral:rRNA from 1 species
UACGUAGGUGGCAAGCGUUGUCCGGAUUUAUUGGGUUUAAAGGGUGCGUAGGCGGCCCUGUAAGUCAGUGCUGAAAUAUCCCGGCUUAACCGGGAGGGUGGCAUUGAUACUGCGGGGCUAGAGUACAAAUGAGGUAGGCGGAAUUGACGGUGUAGCGGUGAAAUGCUUAGAUAUCGUCAAGAACACCUAUAGCGAAGGCAGCUUACUAGGCUGUAACUGACGCUGAGGCACGAAAGUGUGGGGAUCAAACAGG